rnacentral:tRNA from 1 species
GCCUGUGACGCAGUCGGUUUAGCGUGUCGUUCUUAUAAUGCGAAAGUCGCGAGUUCAAGUCUCGCCAGGAUCA